UUAAAAUUCCACCUUUCUUUUAAUUUCAGAUCCUCUUCUGCGUGACUACUGGGUGUAUGAAGGCUCUCUGACCGUUCCGCCCUGCAGUGAAGGUGUCACCUGGAUAUUGUUUCGCUAUCCCUUGACUGUGUCCCAAGUGCAGAUAGAGGAAUUUCGUAGGCUGAGGACACACGUUAAAGGUGCUGAACUUUUGGAGGGCUGUGAUGGAAUCCUAGGAGAUAACUUCAGACCAACUCAGCCACUUAGCGACAGAGUCAUCAGGGCUGCAUUUCAGUAGCAGAAGAGAAAGAACAACAAAAAUACAUCUUUAUUCAGAGAGGGGGAAGACAAUGCUCCCACAGUGCCCUCGGAUGAGAGAUGGAAACUUUUGAGGCUGCUGCUUCAGUUGCACCACAAAGCCUGCAUUGUCUGUCUUCAUCUAAUUCAGCCUUGACAGACAGCUGUGGCCGUUGGUCUGUCCGCAUGGCCGGUGAAAUUCUGGGAAUGGGGCUGUACAUUAAAAGAAGAAAACAUGUUAAAUCUUCCAAUUUACACUGUUAACUAUUUUUAAAUGGUAAUUAUCUUUGCUUAUGUAGGUUUUUUGCCAUAGGAUUCAGUAGUGGUCUGUGAUCCAAACAGUACUGAUUUUAAGCUUACUAUGAAUGUUAAUAUGUAGAAUUACUCGUUUUGAAUGUUAGAUUGCAUUUUAUUCCGUAUCAUCUCUUGUGCUGUCAAUAACCGUCUUUUCUGUAGAGGGGAGGUGCAUCCUAUAAAGAUAAAAUUUUUGUUUGUUCACA